rnacentral:rRNA from 1 species
AACGAACGCUGGCGGCAUGCCUAACACAUGCAAGUCGAACGAGAUCUUCGGGUCUAGUGGCGCACGGGUGCGUAACGCGUGGGAAUCUGCCCUUUGGUUCGGAAUAACAGUUGGAAACGACUGCUAAUACCGGAUGAUGACGAAAGUCCAAAGAUUUAUCGCCAGAGGAUGAGCCCGCGUAGGAUUAGCUAGUUGGUGUGGUAAAGGCGCACCAAGGCGACGAUCCUUAGCUGGUCUGAGAGGAUGAUCAGCCACACUGGGACUGAGACACGGCCCAGACUCCUACGGGAGGCAGCAGUGGGGAAUAUUGGACAAUGGGCGAAAGCCGAUCCAGCAAUGCCGCGUGAGUGAUGAAGGCCUUAGGGUUGUAGAGCUCCUUUACCCGGGAUGAUAAUGACAGUACCGGGAGAAUAAGCUCCGGCUAACUCCGUGCCAGCAGCCGCCGUAA